rnacentral:misc_RNA from 1 species
UGGUUCUGGCAUCGAUGAAGAACGCAGCGAAACGCGAUAGGUAUUGUGAAUUGCAGAAUUUAGUGAAUCAUCGAAUCUUUGAACGCACAUUGCGCCCCCUGGCACUCCGGGGGGCAUGCCUGUCCGAGCGUCAUUUCAACCCUUCAGCCCGGCUGGUGUUUGGGCCUUCGUCCUCCGGGGCGGGCCUCAAAGACAGGGACGACGCCGCGUCGACACCCCCGAGCGUAUGAGACUCUGUCGCUGCUCGAUCGGGACGACCGGUUCGGUCCAACCAACCCAUCUUUUUUUCAGGUGGACCUCGGAUCAGGUAGGGAUACCCGCUGA